AAUCCAUGUUGUGGGCAGCGUCGAAAUAUCAAAUCUUUGUACCUUUCUCAUGCUUCACAGAGUGAUUCAAAAUCAUGUUGCUUGAAUUGACCAAUCUCACUCUUGAGUUG